AUUGAACGCUGGCGGUAUGCUUAACACAUGCAAGUCGAACGGUGAGAGAGUGCUUGCACUCUUGAAUUAGUGGCGGACGGGUGCGUAACGCGUAGGAAUCUGCCUGUUAGUGGGGGAUAACGUGGGGAAACUCACGCUAAUACCGCAUAUACUCUACGGAGAAAAGCGGGGGAUCGUAAGACCUCGCGCUAAUAGAUGAGCCUGCGUAGGAUUAGCUAGUUGGUGGGGUAAUGGCUCACCAAGGCAACGAUCCUUAGCUGGUCGGAGAGGAUGAUCAGCCACACGGGGACUGAGACACGCCCCAGACUCCUACGUGAGGCAGCAGUGGGUAAUAUUGGACAAUGGGCGAAAGCCUGAUCCAGCAAUACCGCGUGUGUGAAGAAGGCCUGAGGGUUGUAAAGCACUUUCAAUAGGGAGGAAUAACUGUUGGUUAAUACCCAAUAGUUUGACAUUACUUGUACAAGAAGCACCGGCUAACUCCGUGCCAGCCGCCGCCGUAACAC
rnacentral:rRNA from 1 species